rnacentral:rRNA from 1 species
GACGAACGCUGGCGGCGUGCCUAAUACAUGCAAGUUGAGCGCUGAAGGUUGGUACUUGUACCAACUGGAUGAGCAGCGAACGGGUGAGUAACGCGUGGGGAAUCUGCCUUUGAGCGGGGGACAACAUUUGGAAACGAAUGCUAAUACCACAUAAAAACUUUAAACACAAGUUUUAAGUUUGAAAGAUGCAAUUGCAUCACUCAAAGAUGAUCCCGCGUUGUAUUAGCUAGUUGGUGAGGUAAAGGCUCACCAAGGCGAUGAUACAUAGCCGACCUGAGAGGGUGCUCGGCCACAUUGGGACUGAGACACGGCCCAAACUCCUACGGGAGGCAGCAGUAGGGAAUCUUCGGCAAUGGACGAAAGUCUGACCGAGCAACGCCGCGUGAGUGAAGAAGGUUUUCGGAUCGUAAAACUCUGUUGGUAGAGAAGAACGUUGGUGAGAGUGGAAAGCUCAUCAAGUGACGGUAACUACCCAGAAAGGGACGGCUAACUACGUG